UAUUGGACAAUGGGCGAAAGCCUGAUCCAGCAAUGCCGCGUGAGUGAUGAAGGCCUUAGGGUUGUAAAGCUCUUUUACCCGGGAUGAUAAUGACAGUACCGGGAGAAUAAGCUCCGGCUAACUCCGUGCCAGCAGCCGCGGUAAUGCGGAGGGAGCUAGCGUUGUUCGGAAUUACUGGGCGUAAAGCGCACGUAGGCGGCUUUGUAAGUUAGAGGUAAAGCCUGAGCUCAACUCCGAACUGCCUUAAGCUGCAUCGCUUAAUCCAGAAGGUAGUGAAUUCCAGUGAAGGUAAAUUCGAGUUUCGAAGACACCAGUGCAAGCGCUACUGGCUGGUUAGCGUGGUGAAUCAA
rnacentral:rRNA from 1 species